rnacentral:lncRNA from 1 species
AGAAUAUGGCUGUAGGCAUUUGUAAAUGGGGUUGUUGACAUUGAGCUUUCAGGAAGAGAAGAUUAAGACACAGAGAUACCAGAGAGGUCGUUCACAGAGGAAAGACCAUGUGAAGACGCAGUGAGAAGGUGGCCAUAUUCAAGCUGAGGAGAGAGACCUCAGAAGAAACCAAUACUGCCAACGCCUUGGUCUUGGACUUCCAGCCUCCAGAACUGUCCUGGAUCAGAAGAUGCCUGACAAGAGGCCACUAUCAGCAGCAACAGCACAGUGGGGACAAACCUGAGACCUUGAUGGACCGUGGACACCAGCAGGAGAGACAGAGGAACUUGAAGUCUAAAUGGGCAGACAAGACCAACAUACACAAAGCAGAGAGUGGCACAAGAGCCAUGUCUGAUGCAACAGUGACUCAGGAGGAUCACUCUGACUCAGAAUGGCCAAGCAAAGGUAUUGGGAGGAAGUGGGAUAGAACUGAGCUUUGAAGACCGUGCUAAAAUAUUUACAGACUCCCCAGGUUAUCUCAAGUUCUCUCCAGGAAUUAGCUUCACCUCUUUGUGCUUUGGCUCCACAUCAGUUAAAUAGUGGUAACGUUUGAUCGUUAAGAACCAUGUAGAGAUGAAACAAUUUUCAAAGUUUUUUAAUUAAGUGUACUCAUUGCCACUCAAAGACAAAUACCAUAUAAAUAUAAUAAUAAUCAUAUUGAGAAACAAAAUAGCAAUGAUGCAGAUACUCAUGUACUGUUUCAUGUUUGUGGUCUUUGAGGGGAGUUUUUACUCAAAUAUCCCUAGAUGAAUAAAUACAUAUGGUCUAUAAA